GAUGACCCCCCCGCCCCCCCAGGUGUCCUGGAGGACUCAGAGGACGUCCUGCUCAACCCCACCCUGGCGGAGGCGGAGGCGGCGGCGCAGAACGCGGAGCUGCGGCGCAGGAAGCCGGGCUACGACCCCUAUGGGGAGGGGGACGCAGGGGACGGAGCCACCAAGGUGGGGGGGGGGGCACCCCGUGUGUCACCCCUGUGUGUCACCCCAUGGGGGUCACCCCCUUGGGUCACCCCUUGGGUCACCCCAUGGGUCACCCCAUGGGGGUCACCUCCUUGUGUCACCUCCUUGUGUCGCCUCGUGUCACCCCAUGGGGGUCACCCCCUUGUGUCACCCAUGGGGGUCACCCCCUUGUGUCACCCCCUUGUCACCCCAUGGGGGUCACCUCCUUGUGUCACCUCCUUGUGUCCCCCCUUGUGUCCCCCCGUGUGCCACCCCAUGGGGGUCACCCCGUGUGUCACCUCCUUGUGCCACCCCAUGGGGGUCACCUCCUUGUGCCACCCCAUGGGGGUCACCUCCUCGUGUCACCCCUCGUGUCACCUCCUCGUGUCACCCCUCGUGUCACCUCCUUGUGCCACCCCAUGGGGGUCACCCCUUGUGUCACCCCUUGUGUCACCCCUUGUGCCACCCCAUGGGGGUCACCCCAUGGGGGUCACCUCCUUGUGUCACCUCCUUGUGUCACCCCAUGGGGGUCACNNNNNNNNNNNNNNNNNNNNNNNNCCUCCUUGUGUCACCUCCUUGUGUCCCCCCUUGUGUCCCCCCGUGUGCCACCCCAUGGGGGUCACCUCCUUGUGCCACCUCCUUGUGCCACCCCAUUAGGGUCACCCCUUGUGCCACCCCUUGUGCCACCCCUUGUGCCACCCCAUGGGGGUCACCCCGUGUGUCACCCUUUGUGUCACCCCUUGUGUCACCUCUUUGUGUCACCCCAUGCGUUACUGGGUCACCUCAUUGGGGCCACCUCGUGUGCCACCUCGUGUGUCACUGGGCCACCUCCUGUGCCACCUGUUGGGCCACCUCGCGUGCCAUCUUUUGUGUCACUGUGCCACCUCGUGUGCCACCUCUUCUGUCACCUCUUCUGUCACUGG
rnacentral:lncRNA from 1 species